UUGUUUUCUGACAGGUUCUGAAGCAUUUGAAAGGACUGAUAUGCUACUGUUCUCCUCAAACUUGGAGAACACAAGAUCAAAAGCUUUCAACACAAAGUAUUAACACAAAAGACAGAUGAAUGAGAUUCAAAUAAAAAUUGGGAAGCUGACUCGGUUACCAGGUUUGUAAGCUUUGGCCUGUGGACUCUAAUUGAGAUGAUAGAGACAAGCACCUACAAGAUCUCUAUCAAGCAUUCUUAAAACUACAAUACCCACCUGCUGAAGUGAAAAAACAGAUUGACAGAGCCAGACGAGUACCCAGAAGUCACCUCCUACAAGACAGGCCCAACAAAGAAAAUAACAGAACACCACUAGCUGUCACCUUCAGCCCCCAACUAAAACCUCUCCAGCGCAUCAUCAGAGAUCUACAACCUAUCCUGAAAGAUGAUCCUUUACUCUCACAGAUCUUGGGAGACAGACCUGUCCUCGCUUACAAACAACCCCCCAACCUAAAGCAAAUACUCACCAGCAACCACACAUCACUGAACAAAACCACUGACCCAGGAACCUAUCCUUGUAACAAAGCCCGAUGCCAACUCUGUCCACAUAUCUAAUCAAGUGACAUCAGCAUAGGACCUAAUCACAUCAGCCAUACCAUCAGGGGCUCGUUCACCUGCACAUCUACCAAUGUGAUAUAUGCCAUCAUGUGCCAGCAAUGCCCCUCUGUCAUGUACAUUGGCCAAACCGGACAGUCUCUACGCAAAAGAAUUAAUGGACACAAAUCUGACAUCAGGAAUCAUAAUACUCAAAAACCAGUGGGAGAACACUUUAACCUGUCUGGUCAUUCAAUGACAGACCUGCGGGUGGCUAUAUUACAACAGAAAAACUUCAAAAACAGACUCCAACGAGAGACUGCUGAGCUGGAAUUGAUAUGCAAACUAGACACAAUCAACUCAGGAUUGAAUAAGGACUGGGAAUGGCUGAGCCAUUACAAACAUUGAAUCUAUCUCCCCUUGUAAGUAUUCUCACACUUCUCAUCAAACUGUCUGUACUGGGCUAGCUUGAUUAUCGCUUCAAAAGUUUUUUUUCUCUUACUUAAUUGGCCUCUCAGAGUUGGUAAGACAACUCCCACCUGUUUAUGCUCUCUGUAUGUGUGUAUAUAUAUCUCCUCAAUAUUUAUUCCACUCUGUAUGCAUCCGAAGAAGUGGGCUGUAGUCCACGAAAGCUUAUGCUCUAAUAAAUUUGUUAGUCUCUAAGGUGCCACAAG